UGGCGAGCCUCAAAACCGUCACGAAGCGUGAACUCUUGGCGAAAAGGAGCACUUUCGUGUCCGCUGGUUAACAUCAAUUUCGAACGUCAUAAAAAGGCUGGAGGGAUGUGGCUCCUUCGGGAGUGUUAUAACCUUUAGCGGAAUGUGGUGGUCGGGAUUGAGGAUUGCAACGAAUACCUUUAGGGCUGUUCCACCUGGCUUCUCUUUGGUAUCCUGGUGACGACAGCUUGCUGACGUCGUUAGGAUUCGCCUUUGAACAGGCUAGAGUGUGAGCAAA
rnacentral:rRNA from 1 species